CAUCCCUGGACCGUCUGGACAGUAGGGUAAGAUACACGACGCUUGCGGGAGCUUUUGUAGCUGCAAUGAUCUAAAUCUCCCUGUCUGCAAGUGUUUGCCUGGAUUUCAUCUGAAGUCAUUACCAGAUAAUUCCUCUGGAGAGCUGUUUAAAGAACACAACAUCGUGUGAAAGAAAAGACAUUGCAUUCUUAAACUUAACGAAGAUUGAAAUUGGAACCUCGGACACGCAAGUCGCAGUAGAAAGCGAAGCAGACUGCCAAUUUGCAUGCCUGGACACGUGCCCUAAAUGCCAGGCAUAUUCGUAUAAUACUAGAAUUAUCUGGGCUCGGGAUUUACCCACUCUUCAAGAACAUUCCCCUCAAAAAGGCAUUUCUUUUUCUGUCGGUUACUCAUUUCAGACAAAGCAUCAAACGCCAGAACCCGUGAACCUUGUGGCACAACAAUAGUUCCAUAUCCACUGAGCACUGGGCCAAAUUGUGGAGAUCCCUUGUACUUCAAGUUAAAUUGCUACAAAUCAACAGGCGAGGUUAACUUCACGAUGCCUGAACUUGGACCGAAUCGCGUUGGCUAAAAUAAAUCCAGAUGAUCGGAAGUUGAUCCAAAUUCAAGGUCCAUACAUCAGUGAUGAUAAAGAGAACCAAGGAGUUCAGCUUGACUCACCAUUUAUUGUAACCAACUGGUGCUAAUUUGCCAGGGUCAAGAGGAAAUAGAGGUUAGUUGGCUACCACCAAUAGAACCUCUCUGUCAUAACUUUGUAGACUGCAUCAAUUGGCCCCAUUCAACCUGCAACAAUGAUUCAAAGGAUGGAAAACAAAGGUGUCUUUGUAAUAAAAACUAUUACUGAAACAACUCAACUCAAAUUGCAGCUCAGUUAGAGCCAUCUGGAAGAAAAAAAAGAGCCUCUCACGAUAAUUCUUGUGGUGACUCUCUUAAGUUUGGCUUUCGUGGCAUGCAUGGUUGUUUUUGCCUAUCUAUGGAAAACGAAAAUGGUCCAUAAGAAAGACAGGGGAAGAGUUCAGAGAAUUCGAGGGCACAUGUAUGACAGUGAAAUACAAGUGAAAGAUUUGAUAGACUUGCAAGAAUUAGAAGAAAAUGAUACUGAAGGCAUUGAGGUACCAUAUUGUGAUUUUGAAACCAUAUUAGCUGCUAUAGAUAACUUUUCAGAUGCAAACAAGCUUGGACGAGGAGGUUAUGGCCCUGUUUACAGGGUAAUUGACUCAUCUUGCUUGACUAUUUAAUUUUCGCUGAUGGCUUUUGGAGAUAUUCUUUUUCUUUUGGGUAUAUUACCAGGAGAACAUUAUAUUGCAGCAAAGAGGCUUUCAAAUGUUUCCUCACAAGGUUCAAAGGAAUUCAAGAAUGAAGUUAUUUUGACAUCCAAACAAUAGCAUCGAAACCUCGUCAGACUGUGGGCUAUGGCAUAACAGGAUAUGAAAAAAUCUUACUUUAUGAAUACUUGCCAAACAAGAGCUUGGACACAUUCUUGUUCGGUCAGGUUUCAGAUGCGUUAAUUUUUGAUAAUAUUUGGAUUUGAUGUUGCUUUAGGAUCUUGUAGGAUUUGGUGCACAUCUAAGGAUAAGCAUUAUACUUAUCUUUAACAUAAACCAUCUAAAUUAGACUUUAGACGUUUUAAAUUAUAUAUUUGAUCAAAUUUUGAUAUCUGUUAUUUUACAAGAAAUAACAGAAAGAAAAACAUGAUCUUCUAACAGUUAAUAAAAAAUUAAACCAAAUCUAGAUUGUAUGAGGAAGAUGAGCAUGGUUCUUAUAUGAUCAUCUCCCUAAAUGAUCACUAGAUCCAAAUUCUUUUAAUGCUUUCUAUGCAUUGCAUAAGCUUGAUGGACUUAAGGAAAACGAAAAUGUUGAUACAAAUACUACACAAAGUCUGAGUUUAGUUGGCAGUUGCAGUUUGAUAUAAUUCUUGAGUUGCUCGAGGGAUGUUAUAUCUUUAACAAGAUUCUAAAUUAAGAGUAAUUCACAGAGACUUAAAAAUGAGUAAUAUUUUUCUCGAUGCUUCAAUUUUGGUUUGGUUAAAAUAUUUAAAAACAAAGAAAUUGAAGCCAACAUGGAGAGAAUAGUUGGAACUUAGUUUGAGAUAUCUAUUUAAUUAUAAUGAAACUGACCCUUAACUUCAUUUACAAGAAAGGAAGUUACAUUUUUUUACUUUUUAUUUCAUAAUGGCUAUAUGACUCUAGGGCAUGCAUUUGAUGGAUUACUUUCAAUAAAAAAAGAUGUUUUCAGUUUCAACGUAGUGGUACUUGAAAUUAUCAGUGGAAAAAGGAACAUGAAAUUCUUUCAAUCGAAGCAAGUUUAAUUUCCAAUCUCUUGGGCUAUGUAAGUUUCAUCCCGUUCCUCUCUUAGCUUAUUGUUCUUUUGCAUUAUGGUGUUUAUGAGCAUGAAUAUGCAGGCAUGGAGGCUAUGGACAGAUAAUAAGUUGUUGGAUGUAAUGGUCCAUCUUUGAGUGAAAGCUGCGAUGUU